AAGCCCCAGUAAACGGCGGCCGUAACUAUAACGGUCCUAAGGUAGCGAAAUUCCUUGUCGGGUAAGUUCCGACCCGCACGAAAGGCGUAACGAUUUGGGCACUGUCUCAACGAGAGACUCGGUGAAAUCAUAGUACCUGUGAAGAUGCAGGUUACCCGCGACAGGACGGAAAGACCCCGUGGAGCUUUACUGUAGCCUGAUAUUGAAAUUCGGCACAGCUUGUACAGGAUAGGUAGGAGCCUUUGAAACGUGAGCGCUAGCUUACGUGGAGGCGUUGGUGGGAUACUACCCUAGCUGUGUUGGCUUUCUAACCCGCACCACUUAUCGUGGUGGGAGACAGUGUCAGGCGGGCAGUUUGACUGGGGCGGUCGCCUCCUAAAAGGUAACGGAGGCGCUCAAAGGUUCCCUCAGAAUGGUUGGAAAUCAUUCAUAGAGUGUAAAGGCAUAAGGGAGCUUGACUGCGAGACCUACAAGUCGAGCAGGGUCGAAAGACGGACUUAGUGAUCCGGUGGUUCCGCAUGGAAGGGCCAUCGCUCAACGGAUAAAAGCUACCCUGGGGAUAACAGGCUGAUCUCCCCCAAGAGUUCACAUCGACGGGGAGGUUUGGCACCUCGAUGUCGGCUCAUCGCAUCCUGGGGCUGUAGUCGGUCCCAAGGGUUGGGCUGUUCGCCCAUUAAAGCGGUACGCGAGCUGGGUUCAGAACGUCGUGAGACAGUUCGGUCCCUAUCCGUCGUGGGCGUAGGAAAUUUGAGAGGAGCUGUCCUUAGUACGAGAGGACCGGGAUGGACAUACCUCUGGUGUACCAGUUGUCGUGCCAACGGCAUAGCUGGGUAGCUAUGUAUGGACGGGAUAAGUGCUGAAAGCAUCUAAGCAUGAAGCCCCCCUCAAGAUGAGAUUUCCCAACUUCGGUUAUAAGAUCCCUCGAAGAUGACGAGGUUAAUAGGUUCGAGGUGGAAGCGUGGUGACACGUGGAGCUGACGAAUACUAAUCGAUCGAAGACUUAAUCAA
rnacentral:rRNA from 1 species